rnacentral:rRNA from 1 species
CCUACGGGAGGCUGCAGUGAGGAAUAUUGGUCAAUGGACGAGAGUCUGAACCAGCCAAGUAGCGUGAAGGAUGACUGCCCUAUGGGUUGUAAACUUCUUUUAUAAAGGACUAAAACGAGGCACGUGUGCCUUUUUGCAUGUACUUUAUGAAUAAGGAUCGGCUAACUCCGUGCCAGCCGCCGCGGUAAUACGGAGGAUCCGAGCGUUAUCCGGAUUUAUUGGGUUUAAAGGGAGCGUAGAUGGGUUGUUAAGUCAGUUGUGAAAGUUUGCGGCUCAACCGUAAAAUUGCAAUUGAUACUGGCAGUCUUGAGUACAGUUGAGGUAGGCGGAAUUCGUGGUGUAGCGGUGAAAUGCUUAGAUAUCACGAAGAACCCCGAUUGCGAAGGCAGCUUACUAAACUGUGACUGACAUUGAUGCUCGAAAGUGUGGGUAUCAAACAGGAUUAGAUACCCCUGUAGUC